rnacentral:misc_RNA from 1 species
AAGAAAUCGCAGAGGCAAACUUGAUUUCACAGACAGAUAAUUUCCUCAACCAAGUAGUUCUCCGUAGCUGGAAAGAUUCGAUAAAGGCACUGCAGACAUGUGACGAUCUUCUCCCAUAUGCGGAAGAUCUACAAAUUGUGAAGAGAUGCAUUGAGUCAUUAGCUGUGAAGGCAUCAACCGACCCAAAUCUAUUCGGGUGGCCCAUUAUAGAGCAUGGAGCCAUGCAAAGCCCUGGCGGGAGUGUUUU